GCCAAUGUGGUGUAGUGGUUUGAGCAUUGGACUAGGACUCUGGAGACCAUGGUUCGAAUCCCAGAUGGGCC